rnacentral:lncRNA from 1 species
GCUGCAGGUUAAGUUACGUUAGGACAUUUUAACAUAUUAAAGUCAAAAGGGCUAUCUGUGUAAAAGGAGGAAUGCCAUUGUGAAGGACGUUUUGAGGGAAACUGGCUUAUAAUCAAUUUACACAUGGUGAAGAUUAUGAAAAUAGUUUGCUCGCCUGGUAGACGCCAUUUUAUUGCAAAAUUGUGAUAAUAUGUUUCAUUUACCUUUUAUUUGCCUUGCAGGUAAAACCAUUUUAGUUGAUGAGACAUUUCUUACCAAGCGUAAGUAUAACAGAGGGCGGGUUACCAAAAACAUGACAAUAACUGUUUUAGGAAUAUAUUGUCGAGAAGACAAAGAAGGGCUGUUUUUUAGAGUUAAUGGGAAAAGCAAGCGAGAUAUAUGGCCAUAUAUAAAGCGUCAUGUUCAUCCAGAAACUUCAGUCAUUUGUACCGAUUCAGCUAAACAGUAUAAAAAUGUAGAAAGCAUGUUCUCUGGAGCUGUUCACAAGACAACAAAUCACAGCAGAGGUGAAUUUGUAGCUAAAAAGGAUAAAUUCAAUACGAUAAAUCAGUUAGAAAAUGAAAACAAAAUUUUUAAAAGAACAAUUGUUAAUAGACGCAAUGAUCAAAGUCUGAUACAGUAUAUGGCCCUUCAUUAUUACAAGCGUUUUCGUUUGAAGCAAUUUCAAUAUCCGGGCGAAAAAAAUUUACCAGUUCCUACAAGAUAUUAAAACUGUAUAUCCUGGCUAUGGAAAAAAUGGUUUAGAGUUGAAAUUUAUAAAUGAGCCAACAGUACAAAGUGAGGAUAUUGAAGAUUUAAUGCCACCGAAAAAAGCUGCCCGUCAAGAUGAUGAAAUGCAGUUUAUUGAAGAUGGUGAUGAUAUGUGGGAGUAUGGAAAUUAAAAAUCCUGCAGCCCUUUCAUAAAUAAAUACAGCAGAAUUACAGGUUCGAAAAUGUAAUUUAUUUCCUAAGUAUUUUUGAUGCUGAAGCCAGUCAGUUUUUAAGAAUGUUAAGUAUGACUCUGAGUGUGUGACCUGAUAUGAGGAGGAUAGUGCAAGACAGGGAUUAUAACUACUAGAUUUGUGUUGCAUGCAGUGUGAACAUUUCAUAAGUGUACAACAAAGUGAUUUGGAUUAAUUAUUUCAAAACACGAACCUCAGAUGUUAAUAUUUCAAGAAACUGUUUUUUAGAAGAACUGCAAAUAUCAACAAGAAUAUAAUAAAAGGAUAUACAAUACGUUAUGCACAACUGCAAUGGGGUAAGUUAAAAUUCUUGUACCUAUUUUUGCAUUCAUUCAUUCAUAUAUUUUAUUAUAAAUUUGUUGGUAAUAUAAUAUGAAUGGAUAAUUUUAUAUAAGAUAUUUAUUCUAUAUAAAAUGCUAACAUAAGUUUAUUUUAAUAUAGAGAGUAAAAGUAAAUCUAUAAUGAACGGUUUAGUUCAUCAAAAUAAAAUGUCAUCCGAGUUAUCUGAGUAUCUCCAAAUAAUAUACUCAUGUAUAUUUUAUCUUUUAAAAUUUUUA